rnacentral:sRNA from 1 species
AGCAGCCAGCCCGGCCCGCCAGCGCCCGUCCGCAGCCGCCCGCCAGACGCGCCCAGUAUGAGGGAGAUCGUGCACAUCCAGGCCGGCCAGUGCGGCAACCAGAUCGGGGCCAAGUUCUGGGAAGUCAUCAGUGAUGAGCAUGGCAUCGACCCCAGCGGCAACUACGUGGGCGACUCGGACUUGCAGCUGGAGCGGAUCAGCGUCUACUACAACGAGGCCUCUUGUGAGUGCCUGCCCCAGCCUCCCUAUCCCAGCCCGGGACUGACCAGGUCUCAGCAUCUGACUGACCAGGUCUCAGCACCUGGACUCACCAGCUCUCAGCAUCUCUGUCCUCCCAUGGGUUGGGUUGGCUGAGAUGCCAGCAGGCGUAACUGGAUGUCAAGCAUCCAGACGCACAGAAUAGACAAUAAAUCACAGUCACAAAAGUGAGAGCCAAACAUAUUAGUGCCAUGAGGGCCUGUGCAUGUCCAGGGGCACAGACAGGGAUGGGGCAGGCCAGAGACUUUGGAGGCCAUAAGAGGGCCUAGAGAAGGGGUCACCUGGAGGGCUUAGUCAGGGGCU